GUUUGAUCCUGGCUCAGGGGUAACGCUGGCGGCGUGUCUUAGACAUGGCAAGUCGAACGGACUUUUCUUUUGUAGCAAUACUUGAGAAAAGUUAGUGGCGAACGGGUGAGUAAUACUGGAGUAAUCUACCCCAAAGCGGGGCACAACCUCGAGAAAUCGGGGCUAAUUCCCCGUACGCUCCAAAGGACGCGAGUCCUCUGGAGGAAAGGUGGCCUCUACUUGUAAGCUAUCGCUUUGGGAUGAGCUCUUGGCCUAUCAGCUAGUUGGCGGGGUAACGGCCCACCAAGGCAACGACGGGUAGCCGGCCUGAGAGGGCGAUCGGCCACACGGGCACUGCGACACGGGCCCGACUCCUACGGGAGGCAGCAGUCUAGAAAAUUGCACAAUGGGCGCAAGCCUGAUGCAGCGACGCCGCGUGCGGGAUGAAGUCUUUCGGGAUGUAAACCGCUGACAGGGGGGACGAUGGCAUUUGCAGCUAAUAUCUGCAGAUGUUGACGGUACCCCCAAAGGAAGCACCGGCUAACUACGUGCCAGCAGCCGCGGUAAUACGUAGGGUGCAAGCGUUGCCCGGAUUCACUGGGCGUAAAGGGUGCGUAGGCGGAUCCGCAAGUCGAUUGUGAAAUCUCCGGGCUCAACCCGGAAACUGCGGUCGAUACUGCAGAUCUAGAGGACAGAAGAGGAGAGCGGAACUCCUGGUGUAGCGGUAAAAUGCGUGGAUAUCAGGAGGAACGCCUAUGGCGAAAGCAGCUCUCUGGUAUGUUCCUGACGCUGAAGCACGAAAGCUAAGGUAGCAAACCGGAUUAGAUACCCGGGUAGUCUUAGCCGUAAACAAUGUACACUAGGUAUUGGCAAUGGUCAGUGCCGCAGCUAACGCGAUAAGUGUACCGCCUGGGGACUACGGCCGCAAGGCUAAAACUCAAAGGAAUUGACGGGGCCCCGCACAAGCGGUGGAUGAUGCGGUUUAAUUCGUUGCUACGCGAAGAACCUUACCAGGGUUUGACAUGUUUGUGGUAGCGAAGUGAAAGCGGAGCGACCCUUCGGGGAGCAAACACAGGUGCUGCAUGGCUGUCGUCAGCUCGUGUCGUGGGAUGUUCGGUUAAGUCCGCUAACGAGCGCAACCCUCUCUGCGUGUUACAAGUGUCACGCGGGACUGCCAGUCUUAAGCUGGAGGAAGGUGGGGAUGACGUCAAGUCAGCAUGGCCUUUAUAUCCUGGGCUACACACACGCUACAAUGGCCGGUACAAUGGGUCGCGAAGUCGCGAGGCGAAGCCAAUCCACAAAGCCGGUCUCAGUUCAGAUUGCAGGCUGCAACCCGCCUGCAUGAAGACGGAGUUGCUAGUAACCGCAGGUCAGCUAUACUGCGGUGAAUACGUUCCCGGGCCUUGUACACACCGCCCGUCACGUCAUGGGAGCUGGUAACACCUGAAGCCGGUAUUCUAACCGCAAGGAGGGAACCGUCGAGGGUGGGGCUGGUGACUGGGACGAAGUCGUAACAAGGUAGCCG
rnacentral:rRNA from 1 species